rnacentral:rRNA from 1 species
UACGUAGGUGGCGAGCGUUGUCCGGAUUUACUGGGCGUAAAGAGCGCGCAGGCGGUCGUGCAAGUCGCGUGUGAAAGCCCCCGGCUCAACUGGGGAGGGUCACGCGAUACUGCUCGACUCGAAGGCAGGAGAGGGAAGUGGAAUUCCCGGUGUAGUGGUGAAAUGCGUAGAUAUCGGGAGGAACACCAGUGGCGAAGGCGACUUCCUGGUCUGUUCUUGACGCUGAGGCGCGAAAGCUAGGGUAGCAAACGGG